rnacentral:lncRNA from 1 species
ACCAACCUCCAAAAGGUAAUAGAUGCAGUAGUGUGGGGACCCUGACUUGUAGGUCGAGAUCGCCCAAUGUACGCGCUCAGUGAUCCCAGAAAUCAAUGCUUAGUGAACACACAGAAACUGAAUAACAAGAGUCUUACAUCCAUACAUAUCGUAUGAAAUAGAUAACGAGCAUUAUGGUCAAGUCUUACAUAGAUAGGGCCUUGAAGGCCAACACACCAAACUUGACCAAUAGCGAAAAUAUUGGUCGAAACCGUGAAACCACACCAUCAGCCUUAACCUACAGGCAUUCUGACUAGGGAGCGUCCUAGUUCGUAGGAACGUCACUAGAUACUCCUCAUCAUCUCCUGUUCUCUCUUACCUGGUCAAUGAAAUAACCAGUGGCAAGCCAAUGAGUACUUUGAAUGUACUCGCAAGCAACCCAUGAUGUGGAACGAGGUAAUAAUGAAACAUGACAUAGUACCAAUGAUAAGUUUUGUGAAAAGCUACUUUUUCUGUUAAAUGCAACAACAUGAUCAAAUGCUUGUACCGACAUGCAUCAUAAGGUAAGUGGUAACCACGUGAACAGGUUACAGAUAUCAAUAUCAACUGAGGGCUGAACAUCCUAUGCUCACCCUCCAUGGCAAGUCGUCUAAAUUGACUCAGGUAACACCUUUCUCACACCACCAUCUUUUUCACACACGCACACUUGGUUUAUGCGGAAACGACUAGAUGUAGUUUAAGCAGGAUUACCCAAUUGUCCUUGACCGUGGACACGACUAAUCGAAUAGUUUUACACUCUGCAUAGAUUGCACACUGUACCCACGAGAUUCGGGAAAGUUCUGUGUCAUCCACGACUCGCAGUAUAUAACAUACCCGAGGUAAGUACCCGAUCAAUGCCUCUCCCCUGGCGACCUGUCUUAUGCGUAGCACUACUAGCGACCUAUCUACUUUCAUCAGUAUGAUCUUUAUAGGUGGUAAGACCAUGCACAAUGCAAGUGUUAUCAAGGAACUAUCGUAAACACCAAGCGGAGGGUUUUACCGAUUCAAUCAUGAUCACAUGCAAUGGAAAGAAGUAAUCAACGUGGCAUGCAUGAAAAUAUUUUCUCAAACAUGGUCAAAGGGCUGGUUGCCAUGCUCAAAUAGGUCGCCGGGGUCUUCGAGGCCUUGUGGUCCAACUCCGAGUACUUCGUCUACUACGUCACCUAUCGUCGGAAAGAACCACGAUAAGCUACACAAC